rnacentral:lncRNA from 1 species
CCAGGGCCAGCCUCCUGGGCCCCCCAGGAGAAGAGGCUGGCCACAGUGGCAUACAUACCGGGUUGCAGGGUGGCCGGGCCACCUGGUUGGCCAGGCCCGGUCGCAGCCGCGACCCCUGCAACCCCGCUAUGUACGCCACUGAAGCCUUUUAUACUCUUAAGUUGCUUGUUACUGGGUCUACCAGACUAUAACAAACCCUUUUCCAUGCUCUGUACUGAACAUGCAGGCUAUGCAACAGCAGUAGUUACCCAGGUCCAUGGGCAAAAGCAAAGGCCGGUUGCCUAUUACUCAGUCAGGUUAGAUCCUGUUGCUAGAGGUGCCCCUUCCUGUGUUAGCGCAGUAGCUGCUGUCACUGCUCUGCUAGGUAAAGCAACAGACAUUGUUUUAGACAAUCCAAUUACUAUCUAUACUCCUCAUGACAUUAACAGCAUUCUGUCUCAGGUUCAGCCCAAGUGCAUACAUACAGCCAGGCAUCUCAGAAUGCAGUGUGCCUUUCUUAUGCCCCCUAAUAUCACUUUAAAGCGGUGCAUGAUAUUAAAUCCAUCUGCAUUACUUCCUAUGGAUUUAAAAGAGGGGAGUGGCAUAGACCUUUUUAUGCAUUCCUUAUCACCUGAUGAAUUAGUUGAGACCCAGGUACCUCAGGACUGUGCAGCCUUAAUGGCUCAGGAAACUGCAGGUUUUUCGCAUGUGAUUGAUUCACCAUUGUCUAAUCCAGACUUUGAAUAUUUUGUAGAUGAUUCUCGAUUUGCUGAUGAGAAGGGUAACUUUAAUACUGGAUAUGCUGUUGUCUCUACACACGAGGUAAUUAAAGCAGAACCACCACAGGAGGCCGAGCUGAAGGCUCUCACUGAAGCGUUCAAAUUGGCCUCAGGUAAGACUGUUAAUAUCUAUGCCUUUGGCAUAGCCCAUGACUUUGGAGCCCUUUGGCGGGCCCGACAUUUUCUCACAUCUGCAGGAACCCUCAUUAAGAAUUCAGAAACCAUGAGUGCCCUAAUGGACGCUAUCCUGCUACCCAAGACUGUGGGAAUCAUCAAGAUGGCAGCUCACGUAAAGAUCACAGAUGAACGCUGACAAGAUGAGACUUUGUCUACCCAAGGUUUUUUUGCCCAAUGCUGGCUCAGGUGGCCCAUGGACCCACACAUCUGUCAAAAAUGAACAUGAUCAGUUUAGUAAAUGCACAUUGGAUUGCUCCAGGUUUCACUGUAAUUGCUGCGAAACACACUCAAAGCUGCAUGAUUUGUGCUAGGAAAUAUGCAAGUCAAGUGAUUAAAACACCCUCCAAGGCCACUUUACCCAUUUCAGAGAGUGCAGAUAGACUAUAUUCAACUGCCUAAGAGAGGAGUGUAUGAAUAUGUGUUGGUGUGCAUUGAUCUCUUUUCAGGUUGGCCUGAAGCCUACCCAGUAUUGAAGGCUGCAGCAAAGGCAACAGCAAGUAAGUUACUGAAGUAACUGGUAUGUAGAUACGUGGUACCUGAGGUAAUUGAAAGUGACAGAGGGAGCCACUUUACUGGAGAAAUAAUAAAAGAAAUAAUGCAAGCCCUGGGGAUUUGUCAGUGGGAAAGUAGAAAGGGCAAAUGGCACCCUGAAGAAUAAGAUAGCAAAAGCUAUACAAGAGACAGGGAAACCAUGGACAAAAUGCCUCUCCCUAGCCCUCUUUUUAAUGAGAUUUACUCCAUACCUUAAAGCGCACCUGUCCCCAUUUGAAAUACUGUUUGGAUGUACCCCAGAACAGGACUCUACUUCCCCCAAACCCUCCAGCUGCAACACACCAACAUGACUGCCUAUGUACAGGCCUUACACCAAAGAUUAGACAGAGUGCAUAAACAAGUGUUCGAUUCUAUUCUAGAUCCUGAUAGUGACUCCUCUACCCACACGCUUCAGCCUUGAGAUUGGGUAAUGAUAAAGAGACAUGUGAGGAAAGGUCUGGAGCCCAGAUUAGAUGGUCCCUUCCAAGUACUGUUGACUACUGCCACAUCCAUAAAGCCAGAAGGAAAAUCUACUUGGAUUCACACUAGUCACUGUAAAUUGGUGCCUGAUCCAGAAUGAAGUUACUUUUCAUACCCUUGUCUGUUAUACCGACCUUUACCUUCUGUAUUACCCCUGGGACUAAGAUAAAAGAUCAUUCAAAUGGCCCUAUAAUGUUUUUUAGCUGGGAAAGAGCAAAUUUUAACAGGACUCAGGACAUUAACACCUGCUUUGCCAACACUAACAUGUCCCCAGCUGCAGACUGGCUAGCAUCAGAAAAAAUUAUGGACAUUGGUAUAGUGGGAAACCGGGUCGACUGUACUUAGGCAAAGACAUGACUACUUUACUGUGACAUGGCUCCAAAUUGUCUCUAUUUCUUGUGGGUUCCUCAACACCUCAUGCAUAAAAGAGUUCGAUUGGGGAGACCGUGAUGGAAAGACAUUGUCUAAGCUAUUGGGAUGUUUGAAAGAGUGACCUGUGAAUGUGAGUGCUAGUUUGGUGGUGAACAUGACUGACCACAACACCUUUGCAUGUACUAACAAUUGAGUAAUACAGGUUAGGCAAACAUGGUUUUCACUUGCAAAUAAUAUGGGGAUGAACCUAAAGGCUUCUGCUGACUAUCUAGUCCAUCUGCCAGCUACAUGUCAGAAUGUUUCUACAAAAGCUGGCCACAUCCAUGUGAAUUAUCAAACACUGUUCCCAGAAAUACCUAAAUGUAAGCCCCAUUCCAGACCAAAGAGAGAAGAGUAUGAUACUUUGUUAGGGGCUACAGGAACAGCUACAGGGUUUCUAAAUGCUAUGGAUCUAGAGGUAGUGAGAAGUAAAAUAGCAGGUGUAGGUGUAGAGAUGUGGAAAGUUACAAGGUUAAUGGAUGCCCUCCAUAUAUCUCCCUCAAGAAUAUACCGUAUCCUACAACAACGAGGCCCUUUCAGCUAUUUAACAUGAGUGUGUAUGCAACCCAGCAAAUACUAACCAAUCUCUGAAUACAUUAAGUAUACUGCUUAUAGUCUGCAAUAGAUAUACAUUCUUCAGCAGAAAUACACUGCAAAAAUGAACCUCCUGAAUCUAAAGGCUUCCACUGCAUGCAAUAUGUUUGGUAAACGUAUUAACCCUAUGUGGCUUAGAAUGAAUACUAACUAGGGAUCAACCAAUAUUGAUUUUUUAGAGCCGAUACUGUUAAUCUGGGAACUUUCAGGCCGCUAGCCGAUAGCUUACAAUAUUCUGUACUUUUACCUUCUCCCUCCACACCUGUCCCAUAGUGUUCUUUCUUCUCUCCCACCCUCCCCUGUUCCAUAGUGUUUUGUUCCUUCUCUCCCACCAUCACCUGUCUGUAACGGACCGUUUCUCUCACAAGGGGAUAAAAUCCGUUUAGGCGAUAAUCCCCUUUCCCAUAGACCAGCAGCUACUGCAAUCACCAACCUCCUGAACUCCAAACUGCACGUAUUCACCACUCUCGAACAGCAGACACAGGAACCCUGGAAGCAGCCGAACAGGAAAAGCAAUACAAACGGCUUACACUCCUGGCAGUCAGCACACAAUCCAAUUCCCCCAAUAACGAGACGACACUUCGUUUUGAGGGUUAAGCAGAAUCUCCAGAUUUAUUCACACAGCCUCCUUUUAAGACAUUCUCCCAUGCAAGGGAGGGAUCCACAACAAUUAGUACCCCAGCCAAUAAUGUACCAGUUACCUCCCACACAUCUCCUCCCCUUAGUGUGACACAUAAUCCCAUUAGUGCAAACACAAAUUCCCUGGGAUACUGGAUGUACCCCUAAACAUAGGGGUACCCCUUUAAAUGUUACAUCCCCUGGUAGCCCUGAUCUGGGUGAGACACAUAUCCAAAAAUCACCCAGAUCGGACCAGGGGUUCAGGAAUUAUAA